UACAGAGGGGGCAAGCGUUGUUCGGAAUUACUGGGCGUAAAGGGCGCGUAGGCGGCCUUCUAAGUCGAACGUGAAAUCCCCGGGCUCAACCCGGGAACUGCGUCCGAUACUGGAAGGCUUGAAUCCGGGAGAGGGAUGCGGAAUUCCUGGUGUAGCGGUGAAAUGCGCAGAUAUCAGGAGGAACACCGGUGGCGAAGGCGGGUCUCUGGGCCGAUACUGACGCUGAGGAGCGAAAGCGUGGGGAGCGAACAGG
rnacentral:rRNA from 1 species